GCAUAUUCACUAUUGGCUCUUGGGAAUUUGCUUGGGUUAGGGCCCCUACGAUUUAUUUUCCUCUAUGUCUCAGAAAAAACACAUUUUUCAAAAAGUUGGCAUUUUCUGUAGGUCCCAGAAUUUGGGCGGGAGAGGGCUCCUACGAUUUAUUUUCCUCUAUGUCUCAGAAAAAACACAUUUUUCAAAAAGUUGGCAUUUUCUGCAGGUCUCAGAAUUUGCGCGGGAGAGGGUAUAAGACUAGACAGGGGCUGAAAUGGCCCCCUCCUUUCUGCUGUGUGUGCCCCGGCCAUGGCUGCGUGUGGCAGGGCUGACCCCUAGGCUCUGAAAGAAAGGGUUUGACCCCCAGUCCCUGCCAUCGCUGUGUGUGCGUGCGGGCGUGUGCGUGUGUGUGAGUGUGUGUGUGUGCGCAUGGGUGUCCCUGCGUAAGAGUAAACGUAUAUCUCUAAAGAAAACCUAGAGUUUAACUGUUUUACUGCAUUAUUUAUGGUAGCACGAUUAGUCAGUGCUGACUGAGUUUGUGAUUUCCUUCAUCACUUAAAUUUGGAACUCUUAUAGAUUUUUUAUUUUUCUGUAACACUUGCUAGUGUGAUACAUGUCCUUAAAAGUCCCUCAUCUGUAAAUUUAUUUCUGGGGAAUAUGUGACGGGGACUAAACAGGCCUUGGUGAAGCUACUCAUAUGUAUCUUUCAGCUUUCCCUAAAGUUGAAAAUUUUUUACAUUGCACAACCACGCUCCAAGAGUUGCUCCAACAUGGGAAUUCUUUUAUUUAUUUUUUUUUUACCUUUAACUAAUUAAUCACUACUUUUGUCUUUGAGUUAUAUGCUGUAUGUUUCUUGGCCCUAAUGAUGCUUUCCCUUCAUCCAUUAUCUUACACACUUGAGUAAUCCUGUGAAUAUAAGAACUUGUAGUAUUUACUAGCAGUCAUAUUGCCUGAAUUGUUCCACCUAAGUUUUCAGUCAGUUCACUCUUAACAACUACUUAAUUCAGUUAAACCUGAAUUGAUUCGUGUUCACAGAACCAGUUUUGCAGCUACAAUCUGAACUAGUUCUUGCUCGUUAAGCUAAAAAUAAAGCAGAAAGCACACUAUAGGUCAUGCUGUGAUUAGUUAUUUAGUUAUUACUAGUUUAUUGUAGUUAGGGCAGAUAUAAUAAAGUUAUCUAUGUUGACAGUAAUGAAAAAAGUACCCGGUCCGCCAUAAAAUGGCUUAUUGUUACAAAUAAAACGACUGUUUCACAAAGAAGUGCUUCGCAGCCAUUAUGUUGUUUUUGCUCAAAUAAAUUGCAUUUUAAAAUGUUUUAUCUAAACUGCUGCUCUUAUUCAUGUAUUUUAACUGUUUAAUCUACAAUAAACAAAACGUUUUAAUGAAAAGCAUUUUUGUAACUGCGCUUACCUUUUACCUUCUUAUUACCAUUAAGUCAGUCCUUAUAUCGAGUUGCUAUAUUGAUAUAGAACACAAUAAGAAUCCAAUUACAAUCCUUUGAGUCUGACAAUCUCAAAGGGGAGUGAAGGCAAGAAAAUAUAACAAUAAAAAGUUCAAAUCUGUAAUUUUUGAAGAUAUCGCAAAUGCCUGCAUAACUAAAAUCCCUGUAGUACCUGGAUUUCUAUCGAUUUAUUGAAUGUGUAAAUAUUUAUGAAUGGCCAUUCAGGUUUUAUAUAGUUUUUUUUUCUUUCUUUUGGUGUUUGUUGCACAAAUUUAAAUAUAUGAAGGAUAUCAACCAACAAUUCAAUCAAUGAAUUUGUGUUUUUUUCUUAAAUACUCCCUCUCACGGUGAAUUGCUUACAUCUUCUGACAGCUAGUCCAACUUAUGAUAACAUUGACUAGGUUUGCUAUUGGUACACUUUACCUAAAAAUAAAAAUUAAACAUACUCACUACACAACCGUGCUCCAAGAGUUGGUCACAAUAUGGUGAAUUGUUUUGUUGCCGAUAAAAUUAUCUACAGCUUUUGUUCCUUGGUCCUAAUGAUGCCGUCUGUUCACUAAUGUUCACUAACAGACAGUGCGCCUCUUGUAAUUGAUAAGCUUAUAAAUGAUCAAUGCAAAGCAUCAGUAUGCGUUAAAGAAGAUCUAUCAGUCAGAUUAAGUCAAAUUUCAUCAAACUCAAAGCAAUCAAAAUUCUAUUUCUCUGAAAGGUAAUCUUUCCUUUUCAGGGACUGUAUGAAAGGAAUCAUUGAAAUAUAUUAUGAAAUAUACUAUGAAAUAUUUAAUUUGCAGAAUCCCCAUAAUAAAACUUCAAUUGUGAAAUGAAUGAUUACAUUGCAUCUAGACACAAAAUAAUCAACUGUUAAUUAGUAAUCGUGCUAUGUAAAUGACUAACAAGAUCUGAUCAGACAAGAAACUUGACCACCUAAAGUGAUUUCUCACAUUGAACCGUCUGACUUUCUGUAGCCGACUAAAUUUAACCUUACCAAAGUUUUGCCUUAGAGCAAACAGGUACUGAGUAUGAAGCGUGGAUCAGACGCCUUCAGCCAUCUGCUAAAGCUAGACUCCGGCCUUCCUCACUGUAAAAUAAAACAUCACACUUAAAAAAAGUUCAAGUGAACAUCCCUUAAUUAUUAUCAACUUAUUGUUUGUACUCAUCUUAAACAAGUGGCAGGAACGUUUGGUUAAAAAAUAAAGCUUUACAAGUCAAUCUAUUUAAGUUGAGUCCAUGCAACAACUAAAAUAAAAAGUGAACUAUUUGAAAGUAGCGAGGAUUUUGGGUGGUAAAAGUUUAACAUCUUAACACAUCCAGACACUACCUCAUUUCUGCUCAAACAAACGGAAAAAUUUUGAAUAGUACAACUAUGUCAAAUAAUGAGACCGUGUGUCUUUAAUCUAUGUAACAAAUAUAUUGCUGCUGCUGCUGUAGGCAGAAAAUAAAAGAAGUUUUGCAGAGAAUAACAUUUUGAAUGAGUUUAAGAAUAUUGUUUGCCAAAAUCACACAGUGUAACUACACUUGUCUUUUAUAUGAUGCAGUAAUUGAAUCUUUUAAGGCAAUUGGUUCGCAUAAAUGUAAGUAAAUACAACCUAUUUUCCUGCUCCACAUACUUGGCUAGCAGUUUGCCAAUUAACUUCCCAGUCUGAACUUCUGGGCAACGUCUUGAUUCAGUCAAAUCUUCUAUCCUAGAUCUCCUGAACUCCAACAUUCUUUUACAUAUCGGUACAUAUGUGAAUGUUUGGCUUGCUGGUCUUCAGCAUGCUUUGAAUGCAGUAUCUGGUUUCUCUUACUUUAACCCGCCCAACUUGCACCUGAUUGGCAUGUUAGUCUUUUGAUUCCCUCCCAGUGAGGCGGUGCUUCACAAAGCAAACUGUUUGUCAAACCGUUGAUCUGCCUGGUGGCUGUUUCAGAAGAUGAGGAAACACGGUGACUGAGUUUUAGACAGUACUGGUCAGUUCAAGCAGCUGCUCAUGUAGCUGCUCAUGUAGCUUUUUUUUUUUUUUUUACUGGAUGGCAGUCCUAAAAGUAUAUAUCUUUAAAAUAUGAAUAAAUACGUACAAUUCCAUAGUUAUUUGAUCCAGCGGUUAUAGAAGUUUGGUAAUAAUGCAAUUCUGGCAUUGUGCUUUCUUAAUGUAAGUAUUUCUGCUACUGGACAAGAAAAAGUGUUAAAAGAGGAUUUAGAAAGAAAAAUGCAAAGAUGAUAUUUGUAUUUACUGAGUGCAAGGCUGUGACUAGUUAUCAGGACAGAAUGAGAACUGAAAAACUGUUGGGUCCACAUGACCAAGGAGGGAACCGGUCAUCUGCUCCAACAAUUUAUUAGUCUUUAGGAAAUAUUUUUGGACACAAGGAGCAGGAACAUAACAACAUCAGAUGUAUUUUUCAUCCUUAUAUCAGUGAUUUAAAACUAUAUUUAAUUUUGCAUCAUCUUAUUUUUCACCCAUAGAAAAGUCUAAUGUGUUUAUUAUGAGUAGGAUUAACCAAGCUGAAGAAGAGAAAAGAGAAAUAAAUAUUCAUUGGUACAGAAUCGAAUCAGCAGAUAUAAACUUAUGAAACUAUUGAAACUUUCAAGAAUUUUAUGUUGUGUAAGGUAUUUAAGAAAAUAAUACUGAAUCUGUGCUCACAAAUUUCUUUAUCUGGUUGUUAUCUCUAAACUACGUUUACUUUUAUGUUGAACACCAGACCUCUUGCCUCUUUUUCACAGUUUUUUCACUUAGUUCCACGACUGCAGUGGAUUUUAUAGUCAAUGUUAAAAUCCAACACAGAGUCUGAAGCGAUGGAGGAAAUUUACGUCAAUAUGGAACCUGUUGGACAAACUGCAUCUGAUCACACAGGUAAGAAUGAAGUUACAGAGAAAUCUAGUAUGUAUGUUAUUCAAUUUUUUCUAAUGUUAAGGUUUUUGUUAAGGUUGGAGCAGCUCCAAAGAGAGGCUCGGCCUCGGUGUGGUCGUAUGCUUGGGAAUCCUGAAUGUUUUAAUUCUGGCUGAACUCAUAGGCCUCAGUGUACACACUCAUAACAUGACAGCAGAUUUUUCUGACAUCGGCAACAUGCUGACUGAACAGAACAGCAAGUUUCUCUCCAUGAACUCUAACUUCACUGAAACGGCGCCACGAGCUGAAGAGACUUUAAGAUCAGACAAACAUCAGUUGUUCCUGUUAAUCCAGGGGCUGCGGAAGAAGAGAAGAGCAGAUCCAGUAUUGAUGGAUGAUUAGGAUUUGUGUUCACUGUGAUAUUAUUCAUCAAUAAUAAUGUAGCUUAUUAGUAUGCUGUUACAUAAAACCGUAAAGAUAAAUUGUACGCUUCCAACUGUUGUGACUUAUAAAGCAACAAUUUUACCGGUUGUUCUCCGUGUUUCUCUUUCUUGUUAAAACUCUGACACGAUAAACAAACGUUGGAGGAUGGUUUUAUGCGGAGGAUCGUUUUAGCACGAUGCGUUCUGAUUGUGUCUUAAUGUGAC